AGAGUUUGAUCAUGGCUCAGGACGAACGCUGGCGGCGUGCUUAACACAUGCAAGUCGAACGAUGAAGCUGGAGCUUGCUCCGGUGGAUUAGUGGCGAACGGGUGAGUAACACGUGAGCAAUCUGCCCUUGACUCUGGGAUAACUGCGGGAAACUGUAGCUAAUACCGGAUACUUUCCCUGGUGGGCAUCCACUGGGGAAGAAAGAAUUUCGGUCAAGGAUGAGCUCGCGGCCUAUCAGCUAGUUGGUGAGGUAAUGGCUCACCAAGGCGACGACGGGUAGCCGGCCUGAGAGGGUGACCGGCCACACUGGAACUGAGACACGGUCCAGACUCCUACGGGAGGCAGCAGUGGGGAAUAUUGCACAAUGGGCGCAAGCCUGAUGCAGCAACGCCGCGUGAGGGACGAAGGCCUUCGGGUUGUAAACCUCUUUUAGCAGGGAAGAAGCGAAAGUGACGGUACCUGCAGAAAAAGCACCGGCUAACUACGUGCCAGCAGCCGCGGUAAUACGUAGGGUGCAAGCGUUGUCCGGAAUUAUUGGGCGUAAAGAGCUCGUAGGCGGUUUGUCACGUCUGCUGUGAAAUUUCGAGGCUCAACCUCGAACUUGCAGUGGGUACGGGCAGGCUAGAGUGCGGUAGGGGAGAUGGGAAUUCCUGGUGUAGCGGUGGAAUGCGCAGAUAUCAGGAGGAACACCAAUGGCGAAGGCACAUCUCUGGGCCGUAACUGACGCUGAGGAGCGAAAGCGUGGGGAGCGAACAGGAUUAGAUACCCUGGUAGUCCACGCCGUAAACGGUGGGUGCUAGCUGUGGGCCACAUUCCACGUGGUCCGUGACGAAGUUAACACAUUAAGCACCCCGCCUGGGGAGUACGGCCGCAAGGCUAAAACUCAAAGGAAUUGACGGGGGCCCGCACAAGCGGCGGAGCAUGCGGAUUAAUUCGAUGCAACGCGAAGAACCUUACCAAGGCUUGACAUAUAGAGGAAAAGUGCAGAAAUGUACUCCCCGCAAGGUCUC
rnacentral:rRNA from 1 species